rnacentral:rRNA from 1 species
UACGUAGGGUGCGAGCGUUAAUCGGAAUUACUGGGCGUAAAGCGUGCGCAGGCGGUUCGCUGUGUCCGAUGUGAAAGCCUCGGGCUUAACCUGGGAAUGGCAUUGGAAACUGGCGGGCUUGAGUGCGGCAGAGGGGGGUGGAAUUCCGCGUGUAGCAGUGAAAUGCGUAGAGAUGCGGAGGAACACCGAUGGCGAAGGCAGCCCCCUGGGUCGACACUGACGCUCAGGCACGAAAGCGUGGGGAGCAAACAGG